rnacentral:sRNA from 1 species
UUUUGGUUUUUUUUUUUUGGUUUCUU